AAGGCGGGACAAGUCCUGUUGCCAGGCUUGUUAAGAAGGGACAUAGACCAGGAGGACAUUAAAAGACACGUCAAGCUCCAGUGCGGAAAUACAUUCUUGGACAUCACCGGUCUCAAACGCCACCAUGAUCAAGACUUUCAUUCUUAUGCUUCUGCUUGUCGGAGCCAACAGUCAAACAGACGAUCCUGAGCCAGAAGUUCCUGAGCCAGAAGUUCCUGAGCCAGAAGUUCCUGACCCAGAAGUUCCUGAGCCAGAAACUACUGGGAGUGGGCUGCCUCCUCCUACCACUGAUCCGUAUUUAUUGCCUGAAGACCUGGAUAUAACUGUUCAAUUGUUCAAAGAUAUCCCAGAGAAUUUCAAACUUGUUUGUGAGGUUGAGGGUACAAACAUCACAAUUAAACUUGUGCGCUCUGAUCCCUAAACCACCCCAUGGAUGACCACUGCUUUAUAUUGACAUUUAUAUCUGACAUCAUGUUCCUGUUCUAUAUUCCUAGCAUUUAUUCAAUUGCUAACCACUAGGGGCUGUGUGGUGGGAAAGUGGCAGAUUUAGGGCAAAGUGUAGCGUUGUUCCUGAGAAGAAUAGAUUGGAAAGAAUAUUAUAUUUCAUAAUAUUAUAUGUUCAUUCAAAAAAGAGGAGGAACAAAGCCACACUUUGGUUAAGAAGUUUAUUGGUGAAAAGUCUCUAAAUGUUUCUUUCUUCGGAAAAGUUAAUCUUAUUGAAAAUCAUGAAGUCUUUGUGCUCUCCGUUAAUUGUAAGCUUUUUCUGUCAGCAAUCAUCAUUAAAAAUAUCAAAUAAAAUUUGA